CCCUUCUAAGGUAUUGUUGCUCAAAUCUAGUGUCAACAGUGAAGUGAGACCGCCAAAAGAUGAUGGCAGAGGACCGCUUAGAUUGUUCCUGCUGAGGUCCAAGAUUAAGAGCUCCGAGAGAUUGCCUGCCAGAGAAACCGGAAUUUGACCAGAGAAUCUAUUUCCUGUGAGCACCAGCCUCUUUAGAUGGACUAGGCUGCCGAGUUCUCGAGGCAGCAUUCCUGCUAAUGAGUUCUCCACUAGAACUAGGGACUUGAGAUUGGUAAGUUGACCGAGGCUGGCUGGAAUUUCUCCAAUGAGGCCUUGAUUCGAUCGGAACACCAAGGUUUCUAAGCUUCCAGCGAGCUUCUCCCAGUUGCUGGAUGGGAUGGUGGUGGGUUGAUGGGGAGAGAAGCAGUUGAAGAAGCAUAGGCUCUUCAGAUGCUUGAACUUGAAAAGUAAUGGGCUAAACUUUGCAUCCUGGGUACAUUCAAGGGAGUUUUCCAGUACCGGUCCGAUGUCGAGGACGGUUAUAUACCACAGGCCAUCCAAAAAAUCACAUGAUACUCCCUAUAUUUGAAAGGUGAAUUAAUUGGUGCAAUCUGGUUUUAAUAAUAUAAAUGGAACUACAAAAUAAUCAUGAGCUUAACCAUUCAGAGUGCCUAAAGAAAUAUAUCUCAUAAUCAGACUACUAAUCAGGAAAAAACUAAGAUAUAUGAUUUGCAUCAAUGCAUUCCAGAGCUCCAUGAUGCUCAUUCCACCACUGGAAGUUGAGUUAAUGAAAACUGAAAGUCUACCACCCAUUAGUUCAUUUCACUAAUGUAAAAUGAACCAUACUUCGUUACGCUGAUGUAGAACUCAACAUCGCCGAUUAAAACAGCAUGAGGCUUCAUCACCAGCGAACGAUUACCAGAGACAAAAAGUUCUGGUUGCUAAUUAGACUAAGACAUCUCUAUCUGCAGUUUCUCUUCGUAGGGUAGUUUCAGCUUCAAACAUACAGCAUCCUCGAACCCAAAUUAAAAAUAGAAGCUACUUCAUUUGCUCGUAAUUGCAAUAACUAGUGCACAAGAUAGAUUCAGAAAAGUUUAGAAAAAGAGCAUGAAUCACUCUACUGCUCGACAUGUACCACCAACACACUUAAAUAUAAAUGCUAAUGCAAGGUCAGCAAACAAGUGCAGAUAUUUCUUUCUAUACAAUCCACGCAAAAAUGCACCACUCACACGAACACAGCGAAUCAAAUUAAGCAACUGGGCUUAAACCUUGAGAUCCCAGCUAUUUUUAAACUACCACCAUAAGAAAAGGUUCAUCAUGGUACAAGCAAAAAAUUUUGAAUAACAUAAAACAUUCCUGCCAAUUUAAAAAUCUUUUGCACGCGCGCGUUCAGCUAUGCAAAAAUUUGACGCAACGAAUGCUGAUCAAUCUUCACUACAUCAACUAAGCUGUAUCUACUUUCAAAUUAAAUAAGUCUAUGAUGAGGCCUCUAAAGUUCAUUCUACUAACUGGGGUUUCAUACAACGCAUGAAGUAUAACUUUAUCAUUAUCGCCGAAUGACAUGUCUCUAUAACAAUUUUGGCAAUCGUAACCAAUGUAAGUUUAAGAGUUUCUAAUGGGCAUGCUUAAAACUAGAUGUUUGAGAUACAUAUAUAACGUUGAAUUGAAGAGGGAAUUAAAAAAAAGAGCAGCUUAACAAAGGAAUCAUUAAGCUGAUCCAUUAUAAGAACCUGGAUCGGCGUCCAGCCACAGGGGUCCGGAUAAAGUUCUGAGCCAUUCCACCAUUUGCCGACGAAGCUUUGGAUCGCCAAAUACAGAGCUUCUUGCUCUGUCUUCUCCAUUGGGGCCGUUGAGCCUUCUUGCUGGGAGAAAACAUGGAAGGUGAGGAGUGGGAGGAUAAGAAGAGCCUGAACUACAGUGCUCUUCCUCAUUGGUAACUUGGAUAUAACAAAUUUGAGUAGAAAGAAGCACUCAUAGAGAAGCAUAUGAGGUAAGUGAGUUCUAAGGGAUGGAACCCAGCAGAGUGGUGAUAUGGGAUAGAAACUAAGGAAGGGUUAUCUAAUGAGAUAAAGGAAGGCCUUUUUCUGAUUUCUGCUUCAAAACAGAGGAGCUUGGAGUGGGAGAGAUCUCUGCCAUAAGACAUCUAACAACUCAACAAGGAAAUCAUCCCAAUAUAUGAUCUGAAAGUUGAGAAAAGGGCUGCUUUAGUGCAGACGAACUCUACUGUGUCUUGAAGCCUAGUGGUUCCAAAGAAAUAGCAGCAAGGUCAACAAUGCCAGAGGAAGCAACACUUUGGAUCACAAAUAAAGAGCAGCGAAUAUAAGAAUAGGUAGGGGGAUGCACUACUUUAACCCCCACCAAGUCCAGAAAGAAGGGAGCACACCAGAAAAUAAAAUGACAAGGAAAAGAAUCCAAAGAUGGCUCUUUCCUCAGCCCCUAUUCCAGCUGCCAAAAACAGUAGAGGUUUUGGAUUCGGAGACCGGUCCCAAAGAAGGAGAGGAGGGGAAUAGAGAGGUGGGCUUCCAAAGUAACACAAGAAGUGAGAGAAGGCUUUUUUUUUUUUUUUUUAAUUUUAUAUAUGGGAUGACUGGGAUGGGUUUAAUGGAGAAAGGAAAGGGGAGUUGGAGAAGAUCUAAGAUUGUUAUUUAUCGGAUGGUUUUCACGAGGCCCAAGAAGAGUAAUAAUGGUAAUGACAACAAUAAGAAGAGUGAGAUGAAAGGACGAAGGAUUAAUGCAUGGCAGCAGAGCAUACAGCGAUAAAGGGAUGUGUGUAGAAGAGCCUCGCGAAUGGCAGUGGAGUCUAUACGUUUGGAGGCUCUGUUGAUUGUACUUGGGAUGGCUAGAUUUCACCUCUAUUCUUUUGCUUAACCGUGUAUCCGUUGUUUCCUUCUUUCGGGUAAAAGGCUCUGAUGGUCGAAAGGAUUUGAAGGGAAUGUGGGUAUGGAAGGAUGGAGGAAUUAGCUAGGAUUCUGUGUCUUUCCCUGGGGGGGACCAUGUCGCAUGCAUGUGAUUGCAUGCAAGGAGAAUUUUAUCUUAUGGGCCCUAUUUUUACCAUCUAGUUUUACAUAUUAUGUCUAUAUAUUUUUCAUUUAAUUUUUAUUUUAAGAGCUUUUAAUUUCUUGUUUUUGAUAAUAUGUUUAACAAAAGCUGAUCUUGAUGAAAUGUUCCUCGGUUAGGAAGUCCAAGCUUCGAAUUUAGGCUUGACUUGCCGGUUUUUAAAAAAAUAUUGAAAAAAAAAAAAAAAAAAACAAAUCGAAUGAGGACCCCAUUUGGAAUUUAUCAUUAAGUAAAAAUGUAGGUUAUAAAUGACUAGUUAUUUGCAUAAGCAUGAUUAAUGUCUUAAGUUAAUCAUAUUUGCUUUCACUUGCUCAACUCCUUUGAAUAUAAUCUUCCUGAUGGGGACAGGAGGGAACUGGGGAUGGAAAUAUUGAGGCGAACAAUGCAUAUCAUGGGCCUCCAUGAACUGAAGAGCACAACUGUGAAACAAUAACUCGUGGAUAGCGGUGGUAAUUUAUUUUAUCCCAUCAAAUAUCUAACCUGAUCCGAUUUGAAUAAGAUCGAUUUUAUCCAACGCAUAACAGAUCUAGAAUGGAUGUGGAUGACGAUAAAAUCUGUCUCAAAUCAAAUACGGAUAUAUAUCCUUUCAUAAAUUUUUUUUUUUUCUGAGUAAAUGGUUUGUCUGACACGUUGCUAUCGCCACUCAAGGAAAUGGUUAGUUGGCCUACUCAUUUUAGGUUCCCUUUUUGGCCCAUCCUUUAUUUAGAUCUAUUGGUGUGGAGGUAUAUAUUAGCCAUUUGAUAAAUCUGUGGUUCUGGGAUAGCUCCUUUUUUUUUUUUUUGGGAUAGCCAUGGCCUGUAGAGAGAGCUGGAAAGGCAAUAAACCAUCUUGUUAGGCAUGGAAGGGUCUCAUAGCUUUGGCUUUGAUGAAGGGCUACAAUAAUGAGACUUUCUUUCAAAAAAUCGAAUUAUGAGACCUCGUGAUAGGAGGUCUGGCACCGCAGCCUAACACCAAACAACAUGCCAGCCACUUCAACCAUUCUUGUACUGUCCCAUUAUCUCAACUUCUUCUUUUGGUAUUGUCUGGAAGAGAAGGCUCUUUCAAAACUGAAUGUGGCCAUUGAUUAAUUCCUCUGUAGACUAAUUGGUUUAUAGAUUACAGUCUAGAGUCUAAGAGGGACCUAAUUCCUUUAUAGAUUAAAGUCUACAGUCUACACUAGAAUUUUGUGUCAAAAGUUGGACGCAUUUUAGGUACUUCUACAGCUAGGAUUGAAGCAACGAGUUAUCCUUGUUUCUUUAUUUAAAUAAGGCUUUUUAGCAAAUCGUUGGAAUCCUACCAAUUUUAUUGAUAAGUGAAAUAAAAUAUGCCUCUAAACCAAUGCAGAAAGAAAGCAGGAAAAGAUAGAUGUAAAAAAAUAAAAAAAAAUCUUUUAAAAAAAAAGAUAAGGAAAAAAAAUGAGAGAUGGAAAAUCCAAAUUCUAACAUAUGGCUCAUCAUUCGGAUGAUGUUUUAUGAUCCGAUGUGGCCAUAGUGUCUGUAUGUUUUCAUAAUAUUUUAUUUUUGAUUUUAUGAGAUGGAUAUAUAUCAGAGUUGUAUGAACUUUUCAUUUAUAAGUCCAAAAAUAAACUCAAAUUCAAGAAACCAUCCCAUACAAAAAAAGAACGGGCAAACAAAAAAUUAUGAUCCAAGAAAUAUUAGAUGUACGCUCAAGCAAUAAAAGAAUUCCUAUAAUUUGAGUUACUUAAGCAUGAUUAAUGUCUUAAGAAAUAUUAGAUGUAUGCUCAAGCAAUAAAAAAAAAAGAUUAUCCUCUAAAUCUUGAGAUUACUAAUUUUUUAGGCUCUGCAAUCUAUCGUCAUCUAUCUUGAUCAAACUCAUCGAAUUAGUGCGGCAUAAAUAUAAAUAAUAUCCAGAUAAUCAAACAUAACAUCCAAACAAGAUCAUACAAAAUUAGUUUUUUUUUGAAAAAUCUGGUCUUUAUGGCUAACUAUGAUAAAGAUUUUUAGGAGGACAUCAAUAACUAAUAGCUAACAAUUUUAUACAAAAUAUAAGACAGAUCACACCAUGUCUUUGGUUCGGGACAGGUGAUCUAAAGCAGUACAAGGCAGUAUCAACAAGACAUGUCUUUGGUUCGGGACAGGUAAUCUAAAGCAGUACAUGGCAGUAUCAAGACAUGAAUUAUUGGCUUCUACUUACUCCCAGUGAUUGUGGUCUGGCUAGUGCAAUGCAGCCUUACCGGAUCAACAUUUAUGGACCAUGGCAAAUUUGUUCCUCGAGCUAUGGAGAUCAUUAUUGUCCGGGUAAAAAUGCCGUUGGUGCACCUUGUUCCAGUUUGAAGUAAAUCCCAUGACCACAGAUAAUGGCACUCAUAACGUCGAGAAUUAUAUCAUGUUGACUCAUCUGUACCAACUUGGGCCUAAACUUGUAACUGUUCUUCUGGACAAACAAAUUUCAGGUCAUCAUUUGAUUUGCGAACGAUGCUUUUGAUCCUGAUAAUGCCCAAAAAAUUAGCAGCAAAUAGAGCUGUCAUCCGCCUGGUUGCACCUCGCUUUGGUUCAGAGGAGGUUUUGCGCUCCAAGUCUAGGAGAUGCUACCCAUACCCAUAAAUUUAAAAUAGAUAAUUCUUCCAUCGACUUUAUAGAAUUAUCAGUGACACCCUUUCGCAUGCUCAAAGUUAAUUCUUCAACUAUAUAAAGAUGACCAAACAUUCUUCAACUAUAUAAAAACAGCUUUAGUUUCUUAUUUCCAAUUAAAAGAUAACUCCAAUCAAAUUUUAUAAUAGCUUAGAUUACAUUUCUAUCUUAACAUGUUUAUAACAUAUAUCAUACUUGUACAAACAAAGGAUUUGGCUUUGAGAGUUCGAACUUGAAAAAAAGAAUAUCUCUGUAUAUCUAUACCGUAGAACUUUUGGAUGAGGAGGAAGAAGGAUGGUGAGAUGUGUAGGUUAGUAAAAUGUUAAUUACAUUUAAAUCUCUUUAGAAACUAUAUUUAGUUAAAUAAUCUUCAUUUUAAAAUCUUUAACAAUUACAUGUAUACAAACAAAUUAUAAUUACUAUAUAUAUAUAUAUGUGAGUAUAUAUGGAUAAAUAUCGUUUUAAUUGACCAUCGUAAUGAGGCAAGUAAGAAGAACCUACAGCUGAUGUCUCGGUAGGUCCUGGAGGCCCACUGUCCACCACCGCCCUACCACCAUUAGGUGGCAGUACAUGGGAGCUAGAACGCAGGGAUCUGGACCACUCUUUUGAAAAAAAAGAGACUAGGAUAAAAGCUCUCUCUCUCUCUAUCUCUAUCUCUAUCUCAAUGAGAGAAGCUACACAUGUCUGCAUGGAUAUGUGGUCAGGCCUGUUGUCUGAGAAGUCUCUAUCCAUCCUGGCUUUAAGUUUGGCUGUUGUAGCAUGGUUGCAUGUGGUGGCUUUGUUUUGUAGCAGGCUUUGCAUCAGCUCUAGUAAUUAAUUGAUUAAGGUGGGGAUCAUUAAAGGGACCGUAUUCCUUCUCUUUAAUGUAAGGGUGGAGAGAAAACCAGCAUGGGGAUCCAAAGGCUUCCAACUCACACAUGUCGACCUCCAUUGGAUAUGAGGACUGGAUGGAUAUCAAAUUACCGUACCUUAGGCCGGCAACUACCAAGAUAUGGCUAAUGCCUGAAUUGGCAUUGCGUAAGGGACUGCACCUCAGAUCCCAUUCGAGAUUACUGUUGGUUGUAGAUUUUGAAAGCACAGUUACUUUCUUUUCUUUUUCUUUUUUUUUCAAAAAAUUAUCUGUUUCUUAAUUAAAAAUUACAUUUCUAAAAUGCAGCCGAACUUUAACAUCUAUUUUAUAAUCAAAUCAAAAAAAUAUUUUUAAUACGAGAAGAUGAUAAUAUAGAACAGCAUAUAGCACUUUCAAUUUUUUAACUCUUUAUACUGUCGGUAUUCUUAAUUCAAAUAUUUUUUAUUUUAAAUAAUAAUAUAAUAUUAUAAUAUAAUGAUAAAAUAUUAUAAAAAUAUGGUAAUACUAACUAUUAGAAUAUGAUUAUUAUCAAAUAGAAAUGAUAGCAACCUAGUAUUGGCAUAAUAUUAGUAUAAUAUAAUAUAAUAUAGCAUAUUAUAAUAUAACAUAAUGUAAUAGAAUGCAAUAGAUUAAUGUAUAGCACAAUAUAAUGAAAUAAUAUAAUAUAGUAUAUUUGUUAGGCUUGAUUUGUUUGGGCCUAGACUAAAGAGGAAAAUCUAGCUAUAUUGGGCAUGCCCCAAGCAUGCAAAGACUCCUAAUAGGAGUCAAAUUUUUCGUGGACUCCCGAUGAGAGUCACAUUUCUUUGUUGACUCCUGAUGGGAAUCAAGAGUUCUAAGAAGGGCCGAAGACUACGAAAUGCCAACCUUCACCUUUAUUUAAGGCUCUCCUUCCCUUUUAGAAUCCUCCAAGAGGAUUGCACCUCCUCUUAUUUCUCUCUCUUUCUCCUUUCGAGUUCACCAAUUUCUAGCACUGUGCCUAUCAGAAUUACGAUCAUAAAUCUCAUCAGAACCAAAGUAUGAAGUCCUUAAUCUCCCUUUGUUUUCUUUUUCCAAUAUUUUUUCUCUCUAUUGAGUGAUUGACGUUCAGAUUUCUUUUAGAAAUCAACUGAAAUCAAUGUCCUUUAUUUUUCAAUCAUCUUUUCUUCUCUUUCCGACUAAUAGCACCAUUGCCUUUAAUACAAGACCCCUAAUCAAGAUCGCUCAACCUCCCUACAACUUGUCCAUGCAAGGCUAUGGUCGCCGAUAAGCAGCAAGGACCAAAAACUCAGGAAAUGGGUCGAAUCUCCUAUUUUCUAAGAUCUUCUUAUGAUUUUCUAUCGAUUGAUCACUAUUCUAAUCAUCCAUUGCUGCUCGCCACCGGCUGCUGCCAUCUUGCCAUAGCCAUUGACCAUCCCCCUCUCCUUGUUUUGCCAAGAAAGAAGAAGAAUAGAGAAAGAAAGAAAAAAAAGAAAGAAGAAGAAGAGGGAGAAAGAACAUAUCUCAUGAUUUUCUCCCUCCACUCACCCACUCGCUAAUGUUGCUCUCUUUCUCUCUCUAUCUAAUCUCUGGAUCCUAAUAUCAUUGUCAUAGUCCUCUAUUAUAAGCCAAAGAUAAUCUUUUAGAAAAGAGGCCUGCAAUCGCUUUGUUAUUCAUGCAGAUGUCACAUCCUAGCUUGGUCUUUUUCAAAUAUUUAUAGAAUCUAACCACUAUUAAUUUUUAUUGGGUCAUCUAAACCUUAAUUGAUCAUAACCAGUUGAGUUGACCUGGUUUGAGCAAAUCCAAUUAGUUGGACACCUCCGCUUAGUCAAUCAUGUCCUUCCUCCAUCUUAUAUUGCCCAAUUUUAACCUGGCUCAGUUCUCUUGGAUUUUGAUAUUAUUGAUAAUGGAUUUUAAUGGCUUUGAAUAGGUUCAGAUAAAUCAAGCAGAAUCGAACUUUGAAGGUUUAAAGCAGAAGAGAUAAGUAACCCUAACACUCUUUAUUUUUGAAUUACCGGAUGCUUUCAAUGAUUAAGACUUUAUAAAAUAUAAAAAACAUAUUUAAUAUUGAUAAUGUUGUGUUUUCUUAAAUUAAGGAUCAAGCAUAUCAUAUUUUGCAAAUCAUAUGUUAUUAUAAAAAGUAUGGUUUUAAGAAUAUUUUAAUAUUAACAAUUUGUUUACAAAUUAUGAACUCCAUAUGUAGGAAAAUCUACAUAAUUAUUAUGAAAAUACUAAUUUAAUAAUUGUUUCACUUUAUUGACUAUGAACUCUAUAAAGUCAUUGGAGAUCUUUUAACCUUUUCAAUUAUUUAUGAUAUAAAAAUAUAUGCUUCAAAAAAAUAUAAUUUAAGAAAUACGAUUAUGGCUCUCAAAUAGCUAUAUAUGGUCCUGUCAGUGGGUUACAAUAACUUAACAUACAACCCUCUCCAGCAGGUUAUAGUAGCUUGGUAUAUAUCUCUUAUCAACGGAUUACAGUAGCUUGGUAUACGGCCCUCGCCAAUAAAUUAUAAUAGCUUGACGCACAAUCGUCUCCAGCAAAUUAUAGUAGCUCGAUAAGUGGCUCUCACUAGUAGAUUAUAGUAGUUAACAUGAUUUGAUUAUAGUCCUAUCAUAGGUAUAAGAUAACUUUAGCAUUUAAUCUGUAAUGAUUAUUAAAAAUUAUGAUACGGCAAAAUGACGAAUGAUUUUAUGACUUUUUUAACAUAAUUUAUGAUUUUAGAAUAGAAACUUUAUUUAUGUAAUUUGUACAAUUUUAGCAUAUGCAAAAGUAUAGUUGAUUUAUAUAUAAUUAUACUAGUAUCAUAAAAUAUUUUAUGAAACCAUCUUCUCUAAAUGAUUUACUGAUGCAUGCAUAAACUUAUACUUGAUCCAGUAAAAAAAUGUAAGUUUUAUUUACUGAGCUAGUGUAGCUCAUUUUUUUUUUCAGAGAAAUACGACUAUUAGAAAUGAUAGAAGAUCCAGACUUGGAUGUCUGUACCAGUAAACUGAAAAAUUUUAUAGUUGAAAUUAGCUUAUUAGAUGAUUAUAAACUUGUAGUUAACUAUUUAUGAAUUUUAUGACAUGAAUUUUAUAUUUGAUUUUGAAUUUAGAUGCUCUAAAUUAAUAUUUAUUAAUUAAUAAUAUGAUUGAACCUCUUUAUUAUAUUUUUUUUAUGAUGCAUCUUUUAUUCUAUUCAAGAUAACAUAUGUUAGCUUCAUGUUAUUGUAGGUUGCAUUUCUUGAUAGCAUAGCCAUAUUAUGUCUCGCAUUUGGGAUGUGAUAAUAGUUUAAUCAUAUAUUAUAUUAUUUUAAGUGUAUUACGUGAUAAUAUUAUUAUAAUAUAUGAGUGUGAUAUUAUUAUUUUUGUACAAUAUUAAAUAGUAUUUACAUAUUAAUGUAAUAUAGUGUAAAGUAUUGCUAAUUUAUAAAUUAUGUAUUUCAUUUUGAUCUAAAUAGUUUAUUUUAUAUUUUAAUUUAGUAUGAAUAUUUUAAUCUAAAUUCAAUAACUAUAAAAUUUAGAGAUGUUGUGUCAUGGAUCAAGGGAUCGAAUGGCUCAGAUGAUUGGUUUAUGCCUCCACCUCCGCAUACGUGAGGUAUUGUCCGUUUUGACUCAUGACCAUCUUUAGGCUUCAGUGAGCUUUUAGGUUUCAAUGGGCCUUGAUCAUUUAGAGCCUCACGGUUUUAUCCUUUAAAAAGCACCUCACAUUAGGAGAGAAGAUUCCAAUCCAUAUAAGCCAUAUUCCCUCUUGACUCAUAACCGAUGUGGGACUAAAGAAGUCUUCUCUACACCACAACAUAACCUCCCAGUUAAGAAGAAGUAUGUAUAGAUAGGAGGCAAUUUUCACAGACGGUACCAAUAUUGUGGUCAUAGAUCAAAGGGUCAAAUGGCUCAGAUGAUUGGCUUAUGUCUCCGCCUCUGCAUACGUGAGGUAUUGUCUGUUUUGAUUCAUGACCAUCUUUAGACUUCAGUGGACCUUUAGUCUUCAAUAGAUCUUGAUCAUUUAAAGCCUCACGGUUUUGUCCUUUAAAAGGCGCCUCACGUUAGGAGAGAAGGUUCCAAUCUAUAUAAGCUAUAUUUUCUCUUGACUCAUAACCGAUGUGGAACUAAAAAAACCUUUUUUACGUCAUAAUAAAAGAUAUUUUAGUCACAUAUGCAGCUUUCUAAUGGGCUCCAGCAAAGGCUUUUAAGAAGAAACUCCAAAUAGGAGCUCUUAUGGAGGAGAGAUUUUUCAAGUUCUCUAAGGACCAUAUAGCAGUUUCAAAUUACCAACAACCUAUAUAUUGUCCAGAAUUAUUUUUUGGGCUCCAAAAGGUGCUUUUGGCCUCUCCAAAUGCAAUCUCAAAGCAGCCUUGGACUCGAACAAAAAUCAUAUUUGGUGGACAUCAAAGAAAAAAAUAUGGGGUGAGCUUUCGAUUUUGUCAUAUUCUUUUUAUACCAUCAAAGAAAUCUAAGAGUCAAAAACUCAUCCUAUUAGUCAAGCUGCCAAUCUCAUAUAUAUAUAUAUAUAUAUAGUAUUUUUUUCAUUUUCAAAAUAUAUUUUUAUUAAUUUAUACUAAAUGACUAGGUGAUGUACACAGAACAAAUUAAUCAUCGAGCAAGUUAGUAUAUUUUUUUAGAUAAAUUGAUAUAUAAUUUUCAGAAUAUAGAAUUCAUUGGUAGACAAUACAUAGUCAAGUGAUAUAUUUAGCAAUUUAGUCAUUUAACAAUCCAGUACAUACCUUCAAGCAAAUUAAGAUAUAGUUUUUAGGAUAUUAUAUUCACCAAUACAUACUAUAUGGGUAGGUGAUAUAUACUUGUUGACUUUCUAAUAUAUUGUAUAAACUUCUUUAAUGCAUAUAAUAAUAAUUCAAUACACACCUCCUAGUAAAAAGUAUGUUCUAAAAAUUAUGUACUGAUUUACCUGAAAAUAUAUAUUGGAUCAGUGGAAGUCGAUAAGUAUGUAUUACCUAACUAUAAAGUAUGUACCGAUGAAUAUGGUGUUUCAAAAACUAUAUAUCAAUUUUUUUGAAGGUGUAUAUUACGUUACUACAUGAUAAUUUUACUACAUGCAUAACAUCUGGCCAUGCAUUAUGUACCAUCAAGCAUCAUAUUCUAUAAACUAUAUAUGAUUUAUCUAAAUAUAUGUAUUGGCUUGUUAGAUGAUUAAUUUGCUUAAUGUGUAUUAUUUGGCUCUAUAAUAUAUAUAGAUAAAAAAUAGAUUUUGAAAAUGAGAAAGAAAGAGCAUAUAUAUCAUACGGUGGAACUAACCGCUCUCUUAGUCGGAGAAGUUGUGAUUUUUGGAUUUAGGCAUAAGAAAAAACGUGGCAAAAUGGAAAGCCAAAUCACACAUUUCCUCCCCUGGUGCUUCCCCAAUAAGAUUUUUGUUCCUUGGCCUCCUAGGUAGGAAAGUUUGGGGUGCUUUACGAAUCUUGGUACAACCAUCAAAUGACUUUAUCUACAUGCUACCUGCCAUGUCCACCUGUAUACUAAUUAAUGGGAGGAAAAAUUGAGAGAAAAAAAAAUGCUCGCAUAUUAAUAUUCCAAGUGAAACACAGGUACCAAACAACACAUGUCUACUUAACUUAGAUCUCGAAAAGCAUAUUUGGGAUGCCACUUCGAAGAAACACACAGGAAGAACAUGCAGGAAUCUAGACGGAAACAAAGCAGCAGGAAACUUGAGCAGAAAUACCUGCAAUAAGAAAAUCUUUAUUGCACGCGACUAUCUACUUUGAGACCUCAAGGCACCAAUUCCUUCUCGGAGUACUAUUGGUUUCAUCCCUAGCCAUCAUUUUCUACUUCCUGCUUUAUGACUUGCUUUGUCAUUUCCUGCUCCCCACUUCGCUAUUGCUUGCUUUGGACGUAUACUAUUAUCAAAUGGAUAUAUCAUUUUCAGGCUGACAGGUAUAAAAAUACUCCAUUGCUCAAGGAUAUUAUCAGCUGGAAAUUAAAUCGACGGGUCUUUCUGGCAACCAAUGUCUUGCACGUUCGCCCUUUUCCCGCCCAUAUGAUUUUGGUGCAAUGUAUUUAAGGUUCAGAUGGUCCAUUGUAACACUUAUUUUUCAUUUGUUUCCUGCUUUUAGCUCCCUCUUGUACCCGAAAAAAAAAAAAAGAAAAGAAAAAGAAAAAAGAGGACCUUUAAAAGCCUCCCAUCAAAAAUAUAAACAAACAAAUAAAUAAUAAGGAUCCAUUAGGCUUCAUUAGAAGCUUUUAUGCAGUGCUCAAAUGAGCACAACUUAUCACUUUAAGCCCAUGAGCCCAUACGGCUGUCCUGCUGCUGCUUUGUUCUUUGAUUGUGCGUCUCAGUUGGUAAUGCCAAAACAUAUGGUGGUCAGGCCCCCAAACCACUAGCUUUGGAGGACACAAGAUACCCUCCUUGCUGAGGCAAGCUUGCCUCUUAUGAUGUUUCUGCCAAACUGGUAGCCUCCAUUUUAGCCUGGCCCACACUGCUGUCAUAAGAAACUCGACAAUCAACUGUAUGUGUCGGCAGAUUAUCCAAACCGACCAGCCAUGCAGUCGAUGGAGUUAACUAAAUGUUACCAUGUACCGUUAAAAGUUGCUAAUACUACAUUAUAUUUGUAUAUUGUAUAUGAUACAAAUACUUUCGCACGCAAAGUUCAGAGAGGACAUCAAUAAUCCAAGCCAAGUGACAACAAGCUCAAACCGUGCAGAUCAAAUCUUUACGAUAGGCUCCAUGAAGACAUCCCACCAGCAAACGCAUGCCAUCAAGCCAUUGGCUAAGUGACAAGUUCUGGAAACUCAAAUAGUUAGUCCACACCUAGUUAUUUAAGAAGGAUCUAACGCUCUUGACUUGAUCCCCAAAAGAAGAGGAUUGCUACCAAUCUUCAGCAGCUGGAAAACCAGGCUUAUCAACCAUACCAACAACAUGGCGGACCCAUAGAAUUUAACGUGAACUUAAUUAAAUUGGCAAAGAUACACACAUAACUUACGAGCCACCGGCCAUAUAAAUAAAAUAGCUACUCCCACAGCAUGAAGAAAAACAUGAGACAGGGACCCAAGCGAUGGGGGACAUGAGAAAAUCCAACUGCAGGGCUAUGGAAAAUCCAAACAUAGCACAAAGAAAACAAUCACAAUGGCCCAUACACCAUAAAAAAAAUCUGUGGCCACAACAGAGUAUCCAGAACCCGGAGUCAUGAAUUUGUUGCACUGUCAUUGAUACACUAGCGUCAGUUGCUAUAAAGCAUCAGCUAAUUUUACUACAAGAGACAUAAAAGAAAGCAGUGAGUACUAAUAAUACAUCAAACUCAAUGACUAACACCAAUCCCUCAAACAUAAAAAUAACAGUUCGCACAGCGAAAUACAAGGAUGGCAUCUUAAUAGCGAGCCUUCAAGAGCUUAAGAAUCUUGAGUCGAAAAGAAAACUGUUCCCCAUAUACUCAGGACCUUGUCAUGUUGUGAAGAAAGUCCACAGCUUCUUCCCUAUCGAUGCAUCAUGCUUCUCUGAGUCCUCUUCAUCCUCAUCGUAAUCAUCUUCACUCCCACAUCCACCAUCAGGAGUAGCUGGUUCACUUGCUCCUGCUGCACCAUCUACCACAAUUCCAUCCUCCCCACUUUGCUCGCUGCAGUCCAUUGACUUCACAAUAAUGUCGCAGUCACUCUCAUUAGCAUGGGUUUCCUCCACCUGUCCAAAAAGACAGGAACAAUAACUGAGGUCAAGAGGCACCUUACGCACAUCAACUUGAAACAAAAUUAAAAAAUAAAAAAAAGGUAAUAUAGGCAUUAGGCAGUCCAAUGUCUCAGAAGUCCGGAUAUAAAUUAGAAAAAUCAAAGGUGUUUCUUCUUAAAAACUUUGUACCUAAGAUGACCCUUGGAACUGUUACAGUGUGAAUAAUACAAUAUUUCUGAGUGCAUGCGCACCUAAACAAGAUCAAACAGAAAAGUUCUCUCCUUCAUAAACGUUCAGGAAUGCUGCUGACAUGCAGAAUUAAAUCACUUACCUGAGACCAAUAUCACAACAUUUGAUGAGCAAUUAGCUAGUGCUGUGCGCGUGUCUUUUUCAAGGCAAGCGAGAGAAAAAGAGGCGGAAAGUCAGAGACAAGGGAGGAGUAAUUUAAAAAAAAAAGUCUUGUGAAAAAAGAGCCCGGAGGGGGGGACCACAGCCUCCUGCGAGAUGUGUUGACCAUGCUGCAGGGCCUUCAUCGUUAUAGCUUAUAUAUAGUAAAUAUUUCUACUGGUACACUUGAAAGUCAACAGCUAAAUGCUUGUAGUCUCUUCAGAAAGAAAACAAAGAUACAAUUUUGCAUUGAUGAUCCCUCAUCUACUCAAGGUUUAAAGUAACGGCUGUUAUAACGUCAUAAGUAGUUAUAACAGUUUUGACCUCCCUCUAUCGCAUUAUACAUAUAAUGACAGAGAAAGAAACAACGGCAGUUAUAACAGGCUAUUUAGCAGUAUAACAGUCCGCUACAACAUAUGUUACAUUUGUAUUGUUUCUCUAAAUAAAAUAACAAUUUAAAAAAAAAAUCAAAUUUCUUAACCAACUUCCCCCUCUCUCCAAGAGUUUGUAACACCUGAGAAAACAUAAUUGUUUAUCAGAUGAAAGUAACUUGGAAAAUAAUGACCUCAUUCUUUCAUUAUUGUCCAAUAAUUUUCCCUUAUAAUGGCAUUUUAACAGUUAUUAUUUUAAUACUAGAAAAAAAUUGAAACCACAGUGAUAAAAAAAACAGCAUUUCAACCAUUGUAACUGUCAAAAAAAGUUUCACUGGGGUAAUGUCAUCAUGGAAUAACGCAAUUAUUCAAACCCCGCAUCUGUUUGAGAAGAAUUAGUGCUGGAACCAAUGAGUGAAAAGCAAGUGAUAAGAUGCAAAGCAUUCCUGUCAACACCAAAGUCAUAACCAUGCUAAUGCAACACAAAAGUUCGAGCAAGAAAAAAGUAAAGAACCUUACCAGGGCAAGCUUCUGAGAGUUCUCAUGAACUUCCUCUGCACUUCCCACUGUUGUUCUCUGCAGCAUAUGUGAAGUUUUCUUGUUCUCACCAACAAUACCAGAUGAAGGUUCAGCAGCAGGCACCCGUUUAGAAGUUCCUUCUCCAUCACUGCCACCCUUCAAAACCUCAUUUUCAGUUGACUGUUGAUGGCUUCCUGUCUUAUGUUCUUUAGUCUGAUCGGGCAUUGUUUGGGCUGCUGCAACAGUGCCCGCACUGGCACAGCAGUUAGAUACAAAUUUCCUUGCAUAAGUCACUUGUUAUGUAAUUCAGAAAAAUAAAAUGCUCAUAAAUAAAAAGCAGAACUAUACAUCGAAUCCACGAGAAGAUACUUCAGAUUCAAGGACAUGGAUGCACCAAUUCAAAAGUAGUGAGGGGGAUUCAAGAGCAAACUUGGCUGAGAGAAGAGAUCAAGCAAUGAAUCAGGCUCGGAUGACAAAAUGAGCCUGAGCCUAGCUAGCAUAGGCCCCGCUUAAUUCAAGCAAUAUCAACUACACAAGCAUAUGUAACAAGUCAGAUAAAUCUAUACACAUAACAUUGCUUUCACAAGCCGAACCUUUGCAGAAAAUCAAUGGGUAAACUGACCCUGAGCUGAUAGGUGCACUCGGCUCUAUGGAGGUAUUGUUUUUUUCUUUUUUUUUUAAAGAUAUUUAACAAGUGAGAUUAAUAUAUAGAAUAAGAUUAAUAUAUAUAAUAAGUCUUCAUUUAUACACACCAAUAACUGUUAUUGUUUCAGUACCAAGCCAAGCUGAGCUUGAACUAAAAGAAGAACCAAGCUAAGCCCCCUAAGAUUUGAGUCCAAUCGAACCAGCAAAGCUUAAUUCAGCUCAGCCUGUUAGUGUGCCCGUAUGAAUCUAACCAAGAUUUUUAAAAGCUCAAAAAUUAUAGCUUACAGUGCCCGGAUAAGAAAUGCUAUCAAAUCAUGAAAGCACUCUUAGCAAAUGAUCAUGUACAACUUGUAACAGCAUAAAAGAUGUAUAUAGAUGCAGCUUACAUUGUAGAGCGCCUGAAAUUGUAGCGUUUCUCUCCAGGAGCCUGUGUUCCAGGAGCUGAGAUUUGACGCCUCUUUCUACGCCCACCAAGUGAAAUGCUCUCUGAACGCGUUUCACUGUCAUCUGCUUCCAGCUCCCCAGCUGUCAUCCCAGAUGUCUGAGCAAGACGCCUCUUCUGUCGGGAACUUGUUGCCACAGCAUCAGCAUGAACAGAAUCUCCUUGGCUUUCCUCUUGGAUAUUUAGAGAAUCCCUUGUUACACCAUUUGGUGGUCCAUCAUUCUUUUCUUCAGAGGUUUCCCCAAGGAUAGCUUUGGCAUCUUCAACAACUGCUUUAACAGAGCGCGUUCUUCUGGUAGCUUUAGGCCUACCUUUCCUGUUAGGAAGGCGCCGUCUCUGUUUUAAUGGUUCAGGCUGGAACUCAUUUUCAGGAGGCAAAGAAGAUUCUUCCCUUUCAUUCCGUUCAUCAAUAGGGGGAAUGAUCUGCUCACUUUCCACCUGGAUAUCAGUGGAAUUAUCUGCUAUUCCAAAAGAUGGCUCUGGACCAUCACCAGCUUCAACCAAUCUUUCAGAUUCUUCAUUUUCCCUGACUCCACUAUCUGAUUGCACUCUCUGGGCAUCAAUAGUAUCAUUACCAACUACAUAGGAUGGUCCAGGUUCAUAAUUUGCUUCACCUUCUGAAGCUUCUCCAUCAAGUCUUGCACCAAAUGACAGAGACUUCUCUGCCUGGCAUUCAGACAGUUUUUCUUCUUUCUUUCCUGGAGAGAAGUUAAACAGUCUCGAACACUUUUGCAGCCAUGACAUACGACCACCUGAAAUGACAGAACGAAGGCCUGUACCCGUAGGAGAUAUUUCAGCAUUCUUACCUUUUAGAUGCUCUUCCAAAGCCAAAGACGGCAACUGAACAUCUCCUGCAUCAUCACUCCCCAAUUGGAGCAGCUCUAAAUCACUCAUUGUAACCCCACAGUUUUUGCAAACUUUAUACUGCUCAGCAAAAGCAAGGAAGCGUUCUUUUUCCUUGGUGAAUUGUUCUCUUUGGUCCUUCAGAUUCCUGCUAAGCAUUCGCAGAGUUUCAAUGUCAUUUUGAAUCUCAAGUUGGUCAGAUUCCAGCUUUUUUCUGUGUUCAGAGAACUCUUCUUUUUCCCUCUCUAGUUGAUCUUGUUCCACCUUCAACUUCUGAAUUUUAGACUCAUUUAGAUUUUUUAAAGAAUUAAUUUGGUUUAGUUCUCUAUCUCUCCACCUAUUAAACUGAUUCUCUUUCUCCUGCAGCUGCUUCUCCAUAUCCUCAUGCUUUUUCUGCAUAUCCAUCUCAAGCUCAUGCUUACGGAGCUCAAGCUCCCGAGCAAUAUCAGCAUGACCUCUCUUGAGCUCCUCAGAAGCAUUUGACUUUUCAAGCUCCAUUGUGCUGUCAAAAGUUUCUUUCUUCAGUCUAAGUUCUUCCAACUCCCUCUGAAUACCAGCUUUUGCUUCCAGUACCUCAUUAUUCAACCUUUCCUCCUCACUGAAUCGCCAUUUUUCAAACCUUUCCCUUUCAUCAUUGACCUUCUUUACCUCUGCUUCCAACUCGACUUUCUUCUCAUCCAAUACAUCCCACUCUUUCUCAAAAUUCUCCCUCAAUUCUCUCAAAUCCUCUCUUUCCUUAAGAAGCGACUCUUUUAUUAUUCUGCAAUCCUCAAUCUCUUGCUUCAGCUUUGUUUGCAACAGGAGAUGCUGUUCCCUCUCUUCUUUGGUAAGUUCAAGUUUUUCCUCCUCCUUGAUCAUCUGCUGCUUUGCUUCUUCUACUGUAGCCUUCAAAUUCUCAAGUUCAUUUCUAGACUUACACAGAUCCUGCAGCUCUCUGUCUAGCUGCUGCUUUUCUUCCUCCAACUUCUUCUGAUCAAUUUUAAUAGAUUCCUCCCACUUCUUCAAAGCCUUUGACUUUGUGUCAAAGUCUUUCUCCUUCUGCUUCAAGCUCUGCAUUUUGUUCUCCACCUCUCGUUCUCUUUUAGUAACUUGUUCCUCUUUUCGGUCAAUUUCAAUUUUCUUCUUGUCCACUGCAUCCAGUUUGCCUUUUAUCUCUUCAUCGAAAAACUUUCUCCUCCGCUCCAAGUCCAACUCAAACUCCUGUUUCUUGGAAUUUAAAGCCUCUGUGUGAUCAUCAAGGAGCUUUUGCAUCUCCACCUUCAAUAGGAUAAAAGAGACAGUCAGAUUUAUCAAGUACAACAAUGAGGAAAAUCACAAUUACAUAAAAUCAAGGCACAGCAUAGGAUCAAAAAACUUGAGGCCCAAAAUCAAACAAAUCCAGAUGAUUGAAUAUUCCUCAAAAUGCAUAACAAAGGGAAUAUUAUGCAAUUCAGAGGAAAUAGCAGCCGGGAGGUCCAGAAUUGAGCAGAUCAAUCUUUUCUUUUUGACCUUUUACCAUUGGUACUCUGCACUCGAAGAUUUAAAGACCAGUAAAAAGACUUUAAGGUUUGAUACAAACUGCACUAACUAUAAUAAAGUUAGUGCAACCCUACCGCAAAAUUUUUCAAAUAGUGUUCUCAAACUUAUUUUGAACUAUAUGAUCUCAGAUUCAUAUGAACCAUGUCACACAAAUCCCCAUUUGCAUUAUUGUUCUUCCAUGUUUUCUUGUAUACCUACAUUCAUCUCUUUCUUAAGCAAAAUACUAAAAAAAAAAAUUCAUAUUCCAAUAUUCAAUACUAUAAGAACUAAGAUACAGAACUCAACAGUCUGUCAGGUCAUCAGAGAGUUCAAAAUUAUUAGAAAUUCUAGGCCUUCUAAGAUAGACACUUACUUUUUCUCUGGCAUUCAGCUUUUCUUCUAUUGCAAGUAACUCUUUUUCCUUCUUCUCCACAUUCUCAAUCUUGAUACUAGAUUCCUGAAAUCAAAAAUGCAAAAGAAAAUACAAAAAAAAUCACAUGAAAAUACAUUAUUAAUGCAAAAGAAACCAAAAUAUAACCAGUUUGAAAGAAGCCAACCUUCUCUUUAGAAAUUAAAGCUUUUUGUCUAUUACUAAUGUCAUCCUCUUUCUCUUUCAGUGAAUUCUUAGUAACCUCAAUCAUUUUUCGUGCCUCUUCAAGCUCUUCUUCUUUCUUUUUAAGAAGUCUAUCAGUUUCAUUUGCUCUUUCCUCUCUAUCAUUGAUUGAACGCUGCCCCUCAAGAAGCCUCUUUUGACUCUCCUGCAGAUUCUUUUCCCACUCUCUCAAGUGUUCUCUUUGUUCAUCAAGAUCCUUCUUAUAUGUUUUUCUCCUGAAGAUCAAAAAUACAAUUAGAAUCACCACCAAGAAAAAGAAGUAAUUAAUAUGUGACCAAAAGAUACAGGCCACCAAAAUAUAUCAUAUAUAGAAAGAUCAGGAACAGAACAUGCAAAUAACAGAGAGAGAGAGAGAGAGAGAGAGAGAGAGAGCAUACUCAGUAUUUAAAGACAGAUAUUCUUUCUGAAGUUUACGCUCACGAGCCUCCACAUCAUCUAAUUUUCUAUCCACCUCUGAACUCUUUCGACUUGCCUCUGCAAGCUUCGCAUCUGCAGAAUGCAGCUUUCCUUCAAUCUCCAAAUAUUUUUCUUCAAGAUUGGCUUCCAGGGCAUGAGCUUCAGCCAACUUCUUAUCCGAUGUAUAUUUAGCUUCUGCAAUUUCACCACGCAUCUCACGCAAAGCCUUCUCAAGCUGCAUAUUCAUCACCAUUCCAUGAAGAAUUAGAUAAACCAGAGGAAAAAAAAAUGAAUGCUGAAGAUUAUAAUCAUUUCAUGGAAAAAUUAAAAAUGAUGAUAAUAAAAACAAUGACAACAAAAACAGAAGAUAAAUGCAUCUGGCAUCAACAGCAAACAGAAGGAAGUUAAUAAUGAUCAAAGAAAUUCAGUAUCAAACUUUAUACCGUUAAAGCCUCCUCAAAAGAUAUAAUAGUAUCUAGACACAUACAUGUAUAUUUGUAUGCGCGUAUAUGUGUGCACGUGCGCACACACAUAUAUGUAUGUACUUAUAUUUAUAAAUGCAGAUACAUACAUACAUACAUACAUAUGCAUACAUAUGUACAUACACAUUUAUGCAUGCAUGAAUUCACUCAAUAAACUUUAGAAAGCAUUAAAACUGCAACAUGCAAAGUCAAAUCCAAAAAUCGCAUGAUAACUAAGAAAAAGAAAGGCAAGCUUCAUCAUGACAUUCACUUCUUUCUACAGAUAAACACUGAUUAGCAUACCGAUUUCAAGACAUUUUACAUUGUCAACCAAGUCUAGUGUCGCCAUGCAAGAUGCUUGAAAGAAUUGCAACAAAGAUUCCCUCAACUUCAAGCUAUUACGAAUAUCUAUGGGGAAGAAUCCUUUUAAUCCAACAUAAUCCUCUGCUCAUCAACAUCUUUUUUUUUAUAUCAACACCUAAUGUAAAAAUCUCCCUAGAAGACCAAGUCCACAAGUAGAUAGGAAAAAGAGGAUAAAAUGAAAUCUGAAAAUAGAUGUCAAUGCAGAUAUUCUUCAUAGGAAACACAACCAUGCACUUCAAAUACAAAUACUUGAGCCUCAAAAAUAGAAGAUAGGAAAAAGAAGAUACCAUGAAAAGGAGGAAAAAAAACAAAGGGCUUAACAACAGCAUUACUCUUAAGGUCAUUACCAUGGAUGUCAUAGCAUAUCUAGAUACAUUGCAAAGUAUAGCACUCUAAACCAAAGGACUCCAGCAAGCUGCAGUUCCACAUUUGAGCUAGUCUAAUUCACAAGACGACUUGAACUAUUACAUCAAGCAUUUCAAGACAAAUAAAUCUGUAUGGAGCUUUUGUAUACCAACAGUCUUCAUUCUCACUCGAGACUUGCAUACCAAGAUUUUUUUUUUUUAAAACAAACAUCUUCCAAUUAGUCACAAGUAUUUAUUAAUUUAAAAAAUUACAUGGGCUUGAAAGAGAGUGAAUAAAUAUUUGACUAUGGACACUCCUAGAACCGUUUUCUCAUAUUAUUCUCUCUUAAAAUUUCAACAGUUAAAAGUUUCUACCAUCAAGAGUACUUUGAGCCAUCAAUACAAAAAAAGGAAAAGAGGAAAUUUCAACAAAAAAGUUAAGUGAAGUGUCAAAAGAAGAUUUUCCUUCACAACAAGUUGAAUUGCAUAAGUCUUAAGGUAAAAUACAACUCAUGGAAAGCAAGAGUGCUUCACAUACCAAGACUGAGAAUUAUUCAAUAUAAUAGUAUAAACAAACAAGAGAGAGAGAAAGAGGAUGCUAUGUGAAGGCAAUGACAAUUAUAGCUAUAACAUUGAAAAUAGGAUGCUACAAUAUCACAAAACACAAUAAUGCAAGGACACAACUAGGAUUCACUUUGAGCUAAAUGGCUUAAUAAUUCACUUUAGAAUUAUAUACACCAAUAUAGACUAGUUGUGAAAAAUAAAUAAUAAUAACUGCCCACAUACAUCUGCAACACACUGCUUCUCAACUCCCAGAGCCUUCUGCAGAUUUUCCUUCUGCUUUUCAUAUUCUGAUACGGCAAUUGUGUGUGCAGCCUGUUCCCGUUUUAGGAUCUCCUCUGCUUCUGCAAGGCCUUGCCUGAUUUCUUCAUAUUUACAAGUCCAUUCCUUUUUCUCAAUAAGCAGAAGCCCCAUAUUAUAUUGAUAUUCAUGAAGCUGUUCAUAAAAAAACAAGGUUAACAAAACUGUUACACCAAACAGAAACAAAAUGGAAGGAAUUAAAAAUGUCAACAGAACUCAUUGUCCAACUACUGAUUAUUAGAACAAAGAUGCUGAUUAAAAAGUUGUGUGAAAUGAAUAAAAAGUUCAGAAGCAUGUGAAAGGACGGAUUAAUAACAUAAAGUUCAAAAACAAUGAAUCAACUCCUGAAUAAACAAAAAUUUUCCUGGAUGUAGGCAUCAUAAGCACUGAUCCUGAAGUCAGUUACACAGGAUGGUUAAAUAAAAACGAAAAAAAUAUGUUAGCAUAAAACAAAUCAGUAUCACAUCAGCAAAGGAUAAAUAUAAAAAGAGUACAAUGUAAAACAACCAAAUCAUCACAAUACCUGGUUUCAAGCAUAUAGACAUGCCAAUAGAAACACUUCUAAACAAGUAUAUUGCAACAAUCUUAGAAAACGAUGAAAUCAGAUAAUGAAAAAAAAUGUGGUAGGCACAAUAAAUAGACAUCAUGUAUCAUGUUAAAGAUGUGAAAGUGGCAGCUGGAAAUGAUUGCCAUGAAAAGGAAGAAGAUAGGCAAUAACAAUCAAUAUAAUGUUGAUCUUCACAUAGUUUAGCAAUAGAAGGAAUAAAAUAAAAAAAUGUGCCCAUGGAGGGGGAAAUUUUUAAUCAGUCUAGAUUUAUAUCUAAAUUAUGCUGUACCUUGUUUUUGUAAUUUCUUGAUUUAUUAUACCUUUUGACCUCCUCUUUACGAUAUCUAUGAAACAAGAAAUUCCAAAUGAUCACACACCUCACCUAACAUAAACAGCAUAAAAUUCAAUGAUCAGGAAGAAUGAGGCAAAGUUUCCAUUCUCUCCUCAAAGAUUCUAAAUCUUAGGGAUUGAUUUGCCCCACAAAUUUGCUUCUUCACACAGUUCAACUAUAAUUUGAAAUUCACUACAUGUUACAUAUUUGGUUUGACAGGAGUAGGAUUAAAAAAAAAAUUCGCAUAUCUCUGUAUUCUUUAUUAGCAAAGCAAGAGUUAUUUUGAGAUUAACUGGCCUGGAACUACAAUUAGUUUUAGAAUUCAGAUCAGCAAAGGGGACUGUGAGAUUGGUUAGUCUCCAUCGUUGCUGAGCAUAGAAACACUGAUCACAUAUCACUAACCAAAUAGAAAGAAUAUCCAAUGAGUUUUGAAGUGUACAAGAUCUUCUAUAUGGAAUGGAGCUCAGCAUAUAGCGACAGCAGAAUCUCCAGUUCCUAUCCACUUCUUGUGACUUCUGUUCCCUGAUGACUAUAUCACCUAUUCUCUGUUUUUUUCUUCCUUGCUUGAUGCACUGGAGCUGCUGCCCGGGCAUGGCAAGCAGCUUCUUCUUCCUCCUCCUCUUCUAAGUUCCAGAGCCAAUUUCCUUUCUUUUUCUUCUUCUUCUGCUACUGUUACUGAACAAAGUGAUUUUCCUUUGUUUUUUUCUCUUCUCUCUUCUUUGUCUUUAUCUUGCUUGAUGCAAUCUGCUGAUAAUAGCUAGCUUAUUCUUGCUCCUCCAUGCUGGCUUCUGGCUUGGGCCCUUUCUCCUCCUCUUAUUCUUCUUCUUGGCCGGCCGUGAACCUGAUGAUUGUGACCCUGCAGCCAGUGGGCUGUGCAGCAGCUUCUUCCUGCUGCUGCAGCCACCUAUUUGAACUUUUUUGAGUACGAAAAAAGGAUGUAUAUGUGAAAUAUAUCCAGCACACAUUAAUUGAAGCCUUGAUG
rnacentral:lncRNA from 1 species